rnacentral:rRNA from 1 species
CUUGAGACCGGCGCACGGGUGCGUAACGCGUAUGCAAUCUACCUUGUACAGAGGGAUAGCCCAGAGAAAUUUGGAUUAAUACCUCAUAGUAUUAUUGAAUGGCAUCAUUUAAUAAUUAAAGUUCCAACGGUACAAGAUGAGCAUGCGUCCUAUUAGCUAGUUGGUGUGGUAACGGCAUACCAAGGCUACGAUAGGUAGGGGUCCUGAGAGGGAGAUCCCCCACACUGGUACUGAGACACGGACCAGACUCCUACGGGAGGCAGCAGUGAGGAAUAUUGGACAAUGGGCGCAAGCCUGAUCCAGCCAUGCCGCGUGCAGGAAGACGCAUCUAUGGUGUGUAAACUGCUUUUGUACGGGAAGAAACACUCCCUCGUGAGGGAGCUUGACGGUACCGUAAGAAUAAGGAUCGGCUAACUCCGUGCCAGCAGCCGCGGUAAUACGGAGGAUCCAAGCGUUAUCCGGAAUCAUUGGGUUUAAAGGGUCCGUAGGCGGUUUAAUAAGUCAGUGGUGAAAGCCCAUCGCUCAACGAUGGAACGGCCAUUGAUACUGUUAGACUUGAAUUACAAGGAAGUAACUAGAAUAUGUAGUGUAGCGGUGAAAUGCUUAGAUAUUACAUGGAAUACCAAUUGCGAAGGCAGGUUACUACUUGUGGAUUGACGCUGAUGGACGAAA